UCCUGGUUAACCCAGGCAGUCUCGCUAGAGUGCCCGACAUUACUCGCUGGCAACUAACGACAAGGGUUGCGCUCGUUGCGGGACUUAACCCAACACCUCACGGCACGAGCUGACGACAGCCAUGCAGCACCUGUGCAAAUGUCCCUUGCGGGAAAUAAUCAUCUCUGAUUACGUCAUAUGCAUGUCAAAUCCAGGUAAGGUUCUUCGCGUUGCAUCGAAUUAAACCACAUGCUCCACUGCUUGUGCGGGUCCCCGUCAAUUCUUUUGAGUUUCACCCUUGCGAGUGUACUCCCCAGGCGGCAUACUUAUCGCGUUAGCUUCGGCACAGUCGGGGUUGAGUCCGACUACGCCAAGUAUGCAUCGUUUAAGGCAAGGACUAC
rnacentral:misc_RNA from 1 species